CAGGACGAACGCUGGCGGCGUGCCUAAUACAUGCAAGUCGAACGCUUCUUUCCUCCCGAGUGCUUGCACUCAAUUGGAAAGAGGAGUGGCGGACGGGUGAGUAACACGUGGGUAACCUACCCAUCAGAGGGGGAUAACACUUGGAAACAGGUGCUAAUACCGCAUAACAGUUUAUGCCGCAUGGCAUAAGAGUGAAAGGCGCUUUCGGGUGUCGCUGAUGGAUGGACCCGCGGUGCAUUAGCUAGUUGGUGAGGUAACGGCUCACCAAGGCCACGAUGCAUAGCCGACCUGAGAGGGUGAUCGGCCACACUGGGACUGAGACACGGCCCAGACUCCUACGGGAGGCAGCAGUAGGGAAUCUUCGGCAAUGGACGAAAGUCUGACCGAGCAACGCCGCGUGAGUGAAGAAGGUUUUCGGAUCGUAAAACUCUGUUGUUAGAGAAGAACAAGGACGUUAGUAACUGAACGUCCCCUGACGGUAUCUAACCAGAAAGCCACGGCUAACUACGUGCCAGCAGCCGCGGUAAUACGUAGGUGGCAAGCGUUGUCCGGAUUUAUUGGGCGUAAAGCGAGCGCAGGCGGUUUCUUAAGUCUGAUGUGAAAGCCCCCGGCUCAACCGGGGAGGGUCAUUGGAAACUGGGAGACUUGAGUGCAGAAGAGGAGAGUGGAAUUCCAUGUGUAGCGGUGAAAUGCGUAGAUAUAUGGAGGAACACCAGUGGCGAAGGCGGCUCUCUGGUCUGUAACUGACGCUGAGGCUCGAAAGCGUGGGGAGCAAACAGGAUUAGA
rnacentral:rRNA from 1 species